UCAAACUUGGUCAUUUAGAGGAAGUAAAAGUCGUAACAAGGUUUCCGUAGGUGAACCUGCGGAAGGAUCAUUAUCGAAUUGUUAAAACUUGGCUGUCGCUGGCUCUCUUCUUCUUGAGAUGGCAUGUGCACGCCUUGUUCAAACUUUUCAUUCUAACCUCCUGUGCACUUUUGUGAGUUGUGAAUUAAUAAACUUUGUCAAAGUAACAUUUGGUUUUUGGGGAUUGCAGACUGCUUUCUCCUACUAUUCAUCCACAAUUCACGUCAUUUACUACAAACCAUUAAAUAUAAACCUAGAAUGCUUCACAAGUUGGGACUUUAGUGUUCCUUCUUAAAACAAUACAACUUUCAACAACGGAUCUCUUGGCUCUCGCAUCGAUGAAGAACGCAGC
rnacentral:misc_RNA from 1 species